GGAGAAGUACUCAAGUGGCCGAAGAGGCUCCCCUGCUAAGGGAGUAGAUCUGACAAGGAUGCGAGGGUUCAAAUCCCUCCUUCUCCG
rnacentral:tRNA from 1 species